UACGUAGGUGGCAAGCGUUAUCCGGAUUUAUUGGGCGUAAAGGGAGUGCAGGCGGUUUCUUAAGUCUGAUGUGAAAGCCCACGGCUCAACCGUGGAGGGUCAUUGGAAACUGGGAGACUUGAGUACAGAAGAGGAAAGUGGAAUUCCAUGUGUAGCGGUGAAAUGCGUAGAUAUAUGGAGGAACACUAGUGACGAAGGCGACUUUCUGGUCUGAAACUGACGCUGAGGCUCGAAAGCGUGGGGAGCAAAC
rnacentral:rRNA from 1 species